rnacentral:rRNA from 1 species
UGCAAGUCUGGUGCCAGCAGCCGCGGUAAUUCCAGCUCCAAUAGCGUAUAUUAAAGUUGUUGCAGUUAAAGAGCUCGUAGUUGAACCUUGGGCUUGGUUGGCCGGUCCGCCUUUUUGGCGAGUACUGGACCCAACCGAGCCUUUCCUUCUGGCUAACCUUUCGCCCUUGUGGUGUUUGGCGAACCAGGACUUUUACUUUGAAAAAAUUAGAGUGUUCAAAGCAGGCCUUUGCUCGAAUAUAUUAGCAUGGAAUAAUAGAAUAGGACGUUAUGGUUCUAUUUUGUUGGUUUCUAGGACCAUCGUAAUGAUUAAUAGGGGCGGUCGGGGGCAUCAGUAUUCAGUUGUCAGAGGUGAAAUUCUUGGAUUACCUGAAGACUAACUACUGCGAAAGCAUUUGCCAAA